GACGAGGGGCGGGGUCUGGGGGUGUCUUGCGCAUGCGUACUGCCCAUAGCCGUUUCUGGAGCAGGUUAACUGACUUCUGUUUACUGUCAAGUGUUAAGGAUCGCUGCCUAGAACGUUUUCAGCCUCCGAGACUUCCUGCUGAAUGCACUCCUGCUUUCUAGUUCUUUCUGAUCGUUGGAUGGCUAUUCUGGCUCAGACUACUCUCCAAGCUGACUGAUUCAAUCUGGCUUCUCUUAGCUUCCGACUGAACUGCUCUGAUUAAAGGUUUGUAUUUCGGGCUCGUCUGUAUUUCAGUCGGAGGGAUUAAAGGUGUGAAUUAAGGACUAAGCCACACCACAACUAAAAACAGUGUGAUCAAAUACCCAGCAGCAGGACACAUCACACCUUCACUGAAAGGACCAUCAAUGACAUUGGGAACAGUACCUUCUGGACAUGACAAGCUCCCUGCAUUCAUGAAAUCUCACUACCUCUGGUUACCUGUACAAGAAGCACACAGACGAAGCCAGUCAACAUUCCAGAAAGGAAGCAGGAGGAGCUCACAAGCCCCAGUUGGUAAAUGAGAAGUUACUUACAGUUGGUGUCUACUGGGUAGAGGGAGAAUGGGUUUACCUUAAGGGUAUGGCAAGUCAACCAUCUCCAGUGGAUGGCCUCACACCCAGGAAUGUAUGGGCAACACAAACUGGAUCAAAUUUUUUGAGGAAGGGGGCUAGUCAGAAACUUGGAAGAGGGUAGGGAUAGGUCUGGGAUGAGUUAGGGGAGAUGUGAGUGUGACCAGGAUACACUGUAUGUAUGGAGUGGUUCACUAAUUUAAAAAAAAAAAAGUCAAUUACCAAAUACCAA